rnacentral:rRNA from 1 species
UACGUAGGGUGCGAGCGUUGUCCGGAAUUAUUGGGCGUAAAGGGCUCGUAGGCGGUUUGUCGCGUUGUUCGUGAAAAACUCACAGCUCAACUGUGGGCGUGCGGGCGAUACGGGCAGACUGGAGUACUGCAGGGGAGACUGGAAUUCCUGGUGUAGCGGUGGAAUGCGCAGAUAUCAGGAGGAACACCGGUGGCGAAGGCGGGUUGCUGGGCUGAUACUGACGCUGAGGCGCGAAAGCCAGGGGAGCGAACGGG